rnacentral:rRNA from 1 species
AUACGGAGGGUGCAAGCGUUAAUCGGAAUUACUGGGCGUAAAGCGUACGUAGGCGGUUCGUUAAGUUAGAUGUGAAAGCCCCGGGCUUAACCUGGGAACUGCAUUUAAAACUGGCGAACUAGAGUUGAGUAGAGGGGAGUGGAAUUUCAGGUGUAGCGGUGAAAUGCGUAGAGAUCUGAAGGAACACCAGUGGCGAAGGCGACUCCCUGGACUCAAACUGACGCUGAGGUACGAAAGCGUGGGUAGCAAACGGGAGUAGAUACCCUAGUAGUCC